UUUAUAGCAAUAGACGGAUUAUGGCUGAGUGGUAAAGCGCUUUCUUUGGGAGAAAGAUACCCUAAGUUCGAAUCUUAGUAACCCGAAAAAUAAAUAAUAGCUUAGAAGAAUUAGUAAUAAGCAAUAUUAACUAGAUAUAUAUAAUUUAAAUGUAUAUAAAUAAGUAUACAAAGAAAUUAUUAUGGAGUUUUAGCUAUGUAUUAAAGAGAAAUAUUUAUUAAUAUAAUAUUUUAUAAUAAUAUAAACUCUAAGAGAAAUUAGAUAAUAAACGAAGUGAAUUGAAAUAUCUUAGUAACUUUAGGAAAAUAAAUCAAAAGAGAUUCCAUGAAUAGUGUGAACGAAAAUGGAGAAGUCUAAAAAGUAAAAUGGUAUUUAAACAGUUUGAAUAUUAUGGGGAACCUUCCUCAAAGACUAAAUAUAAUACAUGAGCUAUAGAGUAUAGUACCGUGAGGGAACAAAUUGAAAUAGUUAUUUUAUAAGCAGUUUGAAAUAAAAAACGUACCUUUUGCAUAAUGGGUCACCAAGUUAACAUUAGAUGCGAGUAAAUACGUAGUUAAACCGAGCGUUAAAAUAACGGUAUUAGUAUCUAAAGUUAGACCCGAAGCCUGGUGAUUUUACCAUAAUCAGGAUUAUAAAAGUCCGAACGGAAUAUUGUAGCAAAAAUAUCCGAAGAAUUAUGGUAGGUAUAGUGAAAGACAAUACUGACUAGGAUAGCUGGUUUUCUGCGAAACCUAUAAUAGUAGGCAAUUUAAUAAAACAUCUUAGCAGGUACAGAAUUUAAUCUCAGACAAGACAAAAACUUUUUGUUUUAUAUUGUACAAAUUGGGGGAUCGUGAAGAUUUUAUCAGUGAGUAUGUAGACUCGGAAUGGCAAAGAUGUAUGUUAAAUUAUCAGACAUAGAAUGAUAAGGUUGUAUGUCAAAAGGGAAACAGCCCAGAACAAGAGUUAAGGUUCCUAAAUUAUUAGUUAAGUGAAAUUAAGAGAGUUUCUAUUAAAGUCGACAAGGAGAUAGGCUUAGAAGCAGCCAUAAUUUUAUGACCUCGUAACAGAGCGCUUGUUAAGUUGUAGAAGCAUCGAAAAUUUAACGGAUCUAAACAAUAUACCGAAACCUUGUCCAUAUAAAGUAAAAUUGAAUUUUAAUUAUGUGGGGUAGCAGAACGUUGAAUUAUACUAAGACUUUUAUUUUUUAAAUAAAAGGAACUAUUUUUAUUUAAAAAUUAUUUUAAAUAAAUUGAAGAAUUAAAUUCAAGUGAGAAUGGUGACAUGAGUAACUAAAAGAAAAAUUUAAUUUUUCCGCCUAAAGCUUAUGGAUGACAUUAAGUAACGGCCUCUAAGUUUAAAAUUAUCUAAAGGUUUAAACGAUGAGAAAUCUUUAUUACUAAGGACAACAUUUUAGUGUAAAAUGUGCUGGAAAAAUAGUAAUAUCAUUAUGAGAAUUAUUAUAUCCUUGGAUAUAAUAAAAUGUACAUAACGAGAACAACCGUACCUAGAUUCUGAAACAAGUAAGCUAGUAGAGAAUACGAAGGCGUAAAUGAGCUAACAAUCAUAAAGGAACUCGGCAAACUAACUACCGUAACUUCGGAAUAAGGAGGGCUCAUUAUUCUUGAUUAAUAUCAAGUAAAAAGGAAGAAGCAUGAAAUAGUGUUGUACGACUGUUUAAUUAAAACACAGCACUUUGCUGAAAGAUUAAAAAUCUAAGUAUAAAGUGUGAGAUCUGCCCGGUGCCGGCUGGUUAACAGAGACAACUAGGUAUACUACUAUCUAAUGUUGACGGAAACCCCGGUUAAAGGCGGCCUUAACGUGAGGGUCCUAAGGUAGCUAAAUGCCUUGGCCGUUAAAUGCGGUCUUGCAUGAAUGGUGUAACGAUACAACAGCUGUCUCUAUGAUUGACUCAGUGAAAUUGGAAUAGCUGUGCAGAUACAGCUUACCUCUAGUUAGACGAGAAGACCCUAUGCAGCUUUACUGUCACUAAUUAUAGAUUAUGUUAAGCAAUUUUCAGAUUAUAAGGUAAUCGAUUUUAGAUAAAUAUGGAAAACCUUUAUUUUCAUUUCAUUUGAAUGAAUUAAUUUAGGAUUAUGAUAGUUUGUAUUAAUNCAUUAUUCUUGAUUAAUAUCAAGUAAAAAGGAAGAAGCAUGAAAUAGUGUUGUACGACUGUUUAAUUAAAACACAGCACUUUGCUGAAAGAUUAAAAAUCUAAGUAUAAAGUGUGAGAUCUGCCCGGUGCCGGCUGGUUAACAGAGACAACUAGGUAUACUACUAUCUAAUGUUGACGGAAACCCCGGUUAAAGGCGGCCUUAACGUGAGGGUCCUAAGGUAGCUAAAUGCCUUGGCCGUUAAAUGCGGUCUUGCAUGAAUGGUGUAACGAUACAACAGCUGUCUCUAUGAUUGACUCAGUGAAAUUGGAAUAGCUGUGCAGAUACAGCUUACCUCUAGUUAGACGAGAAGACCCUAUGCAGCUUUACUGUCACUAAUUAUAGAUUAUGUUAAGCAAUUUUCAGAUUAUAAGGUAAUCGAUUUUAGAUAAAUAUGGAAAACCUUUAUUUUCAUUUCAUUUGAAUGAAUUAAUUUAGGAUUAUGAUAGUUUGUAUUAAUAGUAUUUUAUUAUUAAUAUUUAACUUUUUCAUAAUAGUAAAUUAACCUAAUUCAGCUUAUUUAU
rnacentral:tRNA from 1 species